AUAGACAACACUAGCCAGCUGCACGCUCCGUGUUUCACUGCUGUUUUCACUGAUUUCGAAAUGGUUUAGGGUUUUCGAACAAGUCCGUUAGCAUCUUGACCGUUAUCAGAGGAGUGCUUGAUGGCCUUCUGCAUCCCAGAGUCUGUGCAAG